AGAGUAGGGUUUAGAUAUUUCAAUUCGAUAUUUGCUGGUGGUAACAUAUCGUGACAGAACGUGACUUUGAACUAUUGUUUAGUAAAUUGAAAUAAUCAAUUGAGUGAAAUGGCUACAAAUAGUGGUAAAAUUGCAUUACUGUCGGUGUCGGACAAAAUCGGUUUGGUUGAUAUCGGAAAAAAGUUACACACCCUUGGAUUCACCCUCGUAGGUAGUGGCGGUACUGCAGCUAUUCUCAGAGGAGCAGGCCUUCCUAUCAAGGAUGUGUCGGAAAUAUCUGGAGCACCAGAAAUUCUCGGAGGAAGAGUAAAAACUUUACAUCCAGCUGUGCAUGGUGGAAUUUUGGCCAGGUUACAGCCAUCUGACCAAGAAGAUUUGAGGAAACAAAAUAUUGAAAUGAUCAGAAUUGUCAUCUGCAACCUGUACCCUUUCAAGGAGACUGUCUCCAAAGAAGAUGUCACAUUAAGUGAUGCUGUCGAAAACAUUGAUAUUGGGGGAGUUACGCUUCUUAGAGCAGCCGCUAAAAAUCAUGAGCGAGUAACAGUGGUGGUAGAUCCUGCAGAUUAUAAUAAAAUCCUCCAGGAAAUCAGAAGUAGUCCAAACAAUGACACAACCAUCGAAACAAGACGGACACUAGCUUUGAAAGCUUUCACUCACACCUGCCAAUACGAUCUAGCAAUUUCGGAUUAUUUCCGUAAAGAAUUCUCCCAGAACCAAUCACAACUCUCUCUUCGUUACGGUAUGAAUCCUCAUCAAAAACCUGCUCAGCUAUACACCACCCUGGAAAAAUUACCCCUCACCGUUGUCAACGGAUCCCCUGGGUUCAUCAACUUGUGCGAUGCAUUGAAUAGCUGGCAAUUAGUUAAGGAGCUAAAAACGGUUAUUGGGCUUCCUGCUGCUACCAGUUUCAAACAUGUCUCGCCUGCAGGAGCUGCUGUUGGUAUUCCGCUAGAUCACAAUCAAGCUAAACUUUGCAUGGUGGAUGACAUUCUCGAAGAGUUGUCUCCGUUGGCUAUAGCUUACGCCAGGGCCAGAGGUGCGGAUAGAAUGUCAUCUUUCGGCGAUUUCGUCGCUCUUUCAGACAUAUGUGACCACCCAACUGCUCGAUUGAUAUCCAGAGAAGUGUCCGAUGGAGUAAUUGCUCCAGGUUACACUCCUGAGGCAUUGGAACUCUUGAGAAAGAAGAAAAACGGUAAUUACUGUGUACUUCAAAUCGAUCCCAAUUAUAACCCAAAUCCAAUAGAAACUAAGGUUAUUUUCGGCCUUACAUUAGAACAACGUAGGAACGAUGCUUUAAUAGACAAAUCUCUUUUCAAAAAUAUAGUAAGCGACAACAAAAACCUUCCAGAAGAUGCUGUAAGAGACUUGAUAGUGGCCACGAUAGCCCUGAAAUAUACUCAAAGUAACUCAGUUUGCUACGCCAAGGAUGGACAAGUUGUGGGAAUUGGAGCUGGUCAGCAGUCCAGAAUACACUGCACAAGAUUGGCAGGAGAUAAGGCAGACAACUGGUGGAUGAGACAACACCCAAAAGUUCUCGGGAUGAAAUUCAGAAAGGGAGUAAAAAGAGCUGAAAUUUCCAACGCAAUAGACAAUUUCGUCAACGGAUCAGUAGGAAAAGAUAUGGACAGAUCCAUCUUCGAGUCAAUGUAUGACGUUGUACCAAUAGAAUUCACUGAAACUGAACGUCGUACUUGGUUGAGUCAGCUCAAAGGCGUAGCGCUAGCAUCAGAUGCGUUUUUCCCAUUUAGAGACAAUGUUGAUAGGGCAAGACUAAGCGGUGUUUCAUAUAUUGGUUGUCCUUCGGGAUCUACGAAUGACGAAGAAGUUGUGAGAGCUUGCAAUGAACAUAAAAUUGUACUGGCGCACACGAAUUUACGAUUGUUCCAUCACUGAUAAGAAACUGUUCUUAUUCAUUGUGUAUUUUUGAAUGUCGAAUAAAUUUUAUUUUGAGAUUUUCA